rnacentral:tRNA from 2 species
GGGGAUAUAUCGAGUUAUUUUAUCCACAAGCCUUCGGGAGGCAGAGGUCGUAGGUUCGAAUCCUGCUAUUCCGACCA